CUGCAGGGACAAAAUGUAUACUUAGUUAUAAACAAUCAGUUCCUAUGCUUUGUGAUAUUACUAACAUUAGGUUAAGUAUGAAAUAGAUGAGUAUACCCUCAUAUCGUUUUCUAAGGUGUACGACAUCUAUAGGGCAUUUGCAUAACUAAUCAUCAUAAACAUUGGGAGCCAUUUUGUUACUCAGAGAAGCCAAGUGAGGUGUCUGAGUUUAACGGAGAUAAUUGGGAAAUAAUUGGACUAGAAAUGGAUGGUAAUGAAUUGCAUGUAAAAAGAAGAAUUCAAGAUGUAUCGAAGAUGCAAUAAAGUACCACAAAAAGA